AACAAAACAAGUAACCCCAGAUUCAUAAAAGAUCAAAGUUAUAGUUUUUCUAACAGAGCUAGCACUUAAUCUAUACCUGAAAAGAUAUAUGGUUGUCCUGGGGAUCUAAGUGUUGAGCAUCGGAAGGCAAUCUCUGAUCUUCUUCCUUGGACUGCACCAANUGGAUACCGACUCCAUAGUUGAACAACCAUGCACCCUCAAAGUCCAAAGCUUGGGGCCUCUCAGUCUGAAC
rnacentral:lncRNA from 1 species